GCUCACAGGUUCUUUCCCUGACGUACAGAGCAAUGAAGUUCACAGAGCUGUGCUUACAGAGACAGGUAAAACCCUUCUCCACCAGCUUGCGGGCAGGCACGCUUCCCUUGCCAGAUGACUUUUGAAGAUACUACUCACUGAAAUCACAGGUUUUCUGGUCUUUAUAUUUCACUGGAUCAAAUUACCGUCCUGUCACCAGCAAAUGUGUUUUCUUUAUUCACUGGAUCUAAAGAUGUUGAAAUUUAUUUCUUUCUUUCCAUCCUUCAGCUGGUAGCUACAUAGGGAUACCCUUCAAUCCAUCAGCUGGCCCACUGUGGCAGCAGUAUCCAUGGCUCAGUUUUUCACGCUCUUGGGAUAUGAUCUUCUACAGACCCGUUACUUCUGGCUCUGGAGAUGAUUUGGAAGUAGAGACACUGCUGACUCAAAGCUGACUUCUGUGGAAAGCCAUGCGGUGACUCCAGGAAUACGGCUGCCCGUACCACAUCCUCUCUCUGGGGUGGUUCUGCCAGCUGGCUCGUGGAGUGGUGCCAAGCUCGUGAUGCUGACCACAACCUGCAACGCAAUUGGCCCUUUCAGCCAGCGUGAAGUUCCCUGCAGAUCUGGAUGGAAGUGUCCUUCCAUGAGGAUGCUCACGCUAGUUAAGUAGUGCGUUCAUUAAGUUCAGCUGGUUGAGGGGAAAAGGGAAAAAAAAAAAAGCAGAUGGUAGCAGUUCACAUGUGAAGGGUACUCUUUGAUAUAUAUUUUCUACUGUAAAAUUUCUAUUUAAUCUAUUUACAACAUUAAGCUACCUAUACGGGACUGCGUUCUGUGAUAAAAGGGGGUUUCUGCUGAGCUCCCAAAAUAUGACUGACAUCUUGUUUGCUUUGGGCAAACAACAGUUCCUUUGACAAAGGGAUUCAUGUUAUGAUUGUCAGAAUAAAGCUCUCUGAAGUGAUUCUGACUCUCAGAUGUUAAUUACUUAGGUGGAGGGAAUUGAAACAGAACAUCUAAAACUGAUAUUAUUAUUAUUACAUAUACAAACAUGUGUUGCACAGGAA
rnacentral:lncRNA from 1 species